rnacentral:rRNA from 1 species
AAGGUCUCCGUUGGUGAACCAGCGGAGGGAUCAUUACUGAGUUAUCUAAACUCCCAACCCUUUGUGAACCUUACCGUCGUUGCCUCGGCGGGCUGUACUUACCCUGUAGCUACCCUGUAGCUACCCGGUAGGUGCGCUCCAAGCCCGCCGGUGGACCACUAAAUUCUAUUUUACUACUGUAUCUCUGAAUGCUUCAACUUAAUAAGUUAAAACUUUCAACAACGGAUCUCUUGGUUCUGGCAUCGAUGAAGAACGCAGCGAAAUGCGAUAAGUAAUGUGAAUUGCAGAAUUCAGUGAAUCAUCGAAUCUUUGAACGCACAUUGCGCCCAUUAGUAUUCUAGUGGGCAUGCCUAUUCGAGCGUCAUUUCAACCCUUAAGCCUAGUUGCUUAGUGUUGGGAAUCUGCCCUGUAUUUAUAGGGCAGUUCCUUAAAGUGAUCGGCGGAGUUAGGGCAUACUCUAAGCGUAGUAAUAUUCUUCUCGCUUCUGUAGUUGUCCUGGCGGCUUGCCGUUAAACCCCUAUAUUUCUAGUGGUUGACCUCGGAUUAGGUAGGAAUACCCGCUGAACUUAAGCAUAUCAAUA